rnacentral:rRNA from 1 species
UAACGAAUCUUCCGCAAUGCACGCAAGUGUGACGGAGCGACGCCGCGUGUGGGACGAAGUCCUUCGGGAUGUAAACCACUGUCAGGGGUUACCAAGUUCUGAGGAGCCCCAGAGGAAGGCACGGCUAACUCUGUGCCAGCAGCCGCGGUAAGACAGAGGUGCCGAGCGUUAGGCGGAAUCACUGGGCUUAAAGCGUGUGUAGGCGGAUCGUUAAGUGUCUUGUGAAAUCCCACGGCUCAACCGUGGAAUGGCUGGGCAUACUGGCGAUCUUGAGCGGCCUAGGGGCAGAUGGAACAAGUGGUGGAGCGGUGAAAUGCGUAGAUAUCACUUGGAACGCCAAAGGUGAAGACAGUCUGCUGGGGGCCUGCUGACGCUGAGACACGAAAGCCAGGGGAGCGAACGGGAUUAGAUACCCCCGUAGUCC